rnacentral:rRNA from 1 species
GAUAAUGACGUUGUCUACCUAUGUNNNUNNACCAAAUUACGUGCCAGCAGNCGCGGUACGUAGAAGACUAGUGUUAUUCAUGUUUAAUCGGUUUAAAGGGUACCUAGACGGCAGAUCAAGCUUACAAGAAAUAAAAAUAUAAAAUAAAAGGACUAAUCUGCUAGAGUUACUUCUGAUGGGGCUAUAAAGUACUACUGGUGUAGAGAUGAAAUUCUAUGAUACCUUUUUUCGAAAGAAAAGCUAUGGCACAGGUAUAGGCGAAGGCAUCCCCUUAUGUGAUAACUGACGUUGAGGGACGAAGGCUUCGAUUAACGAACAGGAUUAGAUACCCUGGUAGUUGAGGCAGUAAAUGAUGAAUGUCAUAGAUUAGAUGUAUAAGUUUAUUCUAUAAAUGAAAGUGUAAGCAUUCCACCUCGAGAGUAAUUUGGCAACAUUGGAACUGAAAUCAUUAGACCGUUUCUGAAACCAGUAGUGAAGUAUGUUGUUUAAUUUGAUAAUCCGCAAAAAACCUUACCACAAUUUGAAUAUUUAUAUUGUUAUUUCCUUAAUUUUUUUUUUCAUAUUACAUAAAAGGUUGAACAAUUAAUUAAAAAACGAC